rnacentral:lncRNA from 1 species
CAGAAAGGUAAUUCUGUCAGCUCUCAUGUAAAUUGGGUGCCUGUCUGCUUCCCAAACCAGCUUCCACACUCACAUAUCUGCCGGAUCACUUCUCCUGGUGAGCUUCACAGGUGACUAAAGGGAGGUGAUGGCAACAAUUACACUGGGACAAGAAGAAACUCUAAAUGGGGAUCUCUGAUGGCAGCAAGAUCUCAUCCAUGGGAUCCCAAUUUUCCCACAUGAGCUGGGGGAAGGCAUCUCCUGGAAGAUUCCCACAUGGCAUGUAUGUUGCAAGCAGCAUGCCACUGCUUUGGUCCAGACUGGCAGGAGGAGUGGAGGACGUGACCAUUGCCACCAGGAUCGAUGCUGCCUGGGCUGCACGAGGACAGCCCAGCUGCCAGUCUCAGGAAUCUGCUCACCCUCACUUUUCCUUCUCGUCCCCUGGCUUUGAGGCUGCCCAAAGCCACUCUUUCUGCUUCACCACUCUCCUCCAUGGCAGGGGAAGGGUGCCUUGUUUGCUGCAGGGUUUCAGGAGGUGAUGUCUCUGAAGGCUUCUUCAGCAGAAGACUUUUGGCAUUUGCAGAGUGCAGCUCCAUCACAGAGCUGAAGUAGUAAAAAGGUUUCCAGAGGCUGCUCUGUGACAUCUGCUGCUUAGACUUUGAGGCAUUUCAGAGGUGAAAUAAACAUAAUAUUAUCUGACUAGAAAGCA